GAUGAACGCUGGCGGUGUGCCUAAUACAUGCAAGUCGAACGAAGAGCCUUUUUACUUCUAUUCGUAGUUGUAAAGAGGAUUUCUUAGUGGCGAACGGGUGAGUAUCGCGUUGGUGACCUGCCCCAAAGAGAGGAAUAACAGAACGAAAGAUCUGCUAAUACCUCAUGUUGUCAUGGCUUUUAGAAAACCAUGUCUAAAGGAAUUUAUUUCACUUUGGGAGGGACCUGCGUCCCAUCAGCUAGUUGGUAAGGUAACGGCUUACCAAGGCAACGACGGGUAGGGGACCUGAGAGGGUGGCCCCCCACAAUGGAACUGAAACACGGUCCAUACACCUACGGGUGGCAGCAGUAGGGAAUAUUGCACAAUGGGCGAAAGCCUGAUGCAGCAACACCGCGUGUGUGAUGAAGGCCUUCGGGUCGUAAAGCACUUUUUGAGAGGAUGAGAAAGGACAGUACUCUCAGAAUAAGUCUCGGCUAACUACGUGCCAGCAGCCGCGGUAAUACGUAGGAGGCAAGCGUUAUCCGGAUUUACUGGGCGUAAAGCGCGUGCAGGUGGUUUGGUAAGUUGGAUGUGAAAUCUCCCGGCUCAACUGGGAGAGGUCGUUCAAAACUGCUAGACUAGAGGACGGUAGAGGAAGAUGGAAUUCCCGGUGUAGUGGUGAAAUGCGUAGAUAUCGGGAGGAACACCAGUGGCGAAAGCGAUCUUCUAGCCCGUUCCUGACACUAAGACGCGAAAGCUAGGGUAGCAAACGGGAUUAGAGACCCCGGUAGUCCUAGCCGUAAACGAUGUCAACUAGGCGUUGGUGGGUUAAUAGCCAUCAGUGCCGCAGCUAACGCGAUAAGUUGACCGCCUGGGGACUACGAUCGCAAGAUUAAAACUCAAAGGAAUUGACG
rnacentral:rRNA from 1 species